rnacentral:miRNA from 1 species
GGGAGAUGACGUGUGGCACAACCUGGGCGAGCCGCCGCGGGGCCCGGGGCGUGAAGGGGGCGGGGCCAGGGGCGGGGCCC